CGCGGCCCUGAAGAAGGAGGAGGAGGAGCAGCAGGGCAUCCUCUGUCGCCCGUCGGCGAGCUGGUAGCGCGAUCCACCCCUUCCCUCGGGGCCCGAAGGACAGGCCGGCCUUAUUUCUCACCUCGUUGCGCAGCGGGUCCAGUUUGUACACAGUCUGGAGUUGGUUCCGGAGCCGCAUCGCGUUCGCCAUAGGAGCGUCAACCGCCAUCGUCGCCCUGAGCCUGGGUCUACGUCAUCACGUCGCCUUACGUCACCGCGUGGGACAAGAGCAUGGAACAGAGUGCAGUGCAGAUCAGAGAAGAGGCAGCAAUGUGAAGGAGAGAACCCUCUCCGAUGAAGGGUCUAGGCCCGAAACAUCAGCUUUUGUGCUGGCUGGAAAAGCUCAACAGGACUUGAAAGUCAUCCAUGGAGUCCACCUGCACUUCUCAUUGCCAUGGAACGGCUGCCAAUAUCAUCAAAGGCCCCUCCCACCCUGCUAAUACUCUUUUCCAACCUCUUCUGUCAGGCAGAAGAUGCAGAAGUUUGAAUACAUGUACUAAAAAGUUCAAGAACAGCUUCCUCCUAACUGUUCUUGGACUACUGAAUGGGCCGUUCUAAUUUCAAAUCUAAUGUUGACCUUCCAUUUGUGCACCUCCUGGAUGGCCAUAACCUUGUAUGCCUCACUCUGCCUAAACACCCUAUGAUCGGUACUUCCUUGUAUGUUACGAUCAGCCUGUACUGCAAGCAAAACAAAACUUUUCACUGUGUUUAGGUAUAUGUGACAACGGCAAAAUAAAUCAAAUCAAAAAUCAUUGAUCGAGCCAGCAUUUACUGUCCAUCCCUAAUUGCCCAGAAGGUAGUUUAGAGUCAACCACAUUGCUGUGGAUUUGGUGUCACAUGUAGGCCAGACCAGGAGGGGAUGGAAAUUUCCUUCCUUUAAAGGACAUUAGUGAACCAGAUGGUUUUUUUCCCAAUGACAACGGAUUCACGGUCUUCAUUAGAUUCAAAUUCCACUACCUGCCGUGGCAGAAUUGGAACCCAGGUCCCCGGAAUAUUUCCUAGGCCUCUGGAUUAACAGUCCAGUGGUAAUACCGUUUAGGUCACUGCCUCCCCUUAGAUGCCUUAACUGGAAAUUUUGCUCCUUUGGAUGAACACCAGAAAUCCUUCUGAAUGAUGAAACAACUAGACGACUAGCCCAGUUGUAGUUGUUCCAUCAGUGAACAGUUCAUAAGUUGCAUCAGUUGCAACAUGAAUGCAUCAGUUAAAACCCUGAAGAUUCCACGCUCAAAUAUCACAUUUGUCCAUGACCUGAUUAAAGUAAUCAAAA